ACGCUGGCGGCGCGCCUAACACAUGCAAGUCGAACGAGCGAGAGAGAGCUUGCUUUCUCAAGCGAGUGGCGAACGGGUGAGUAACGCGUGAGGAACCUGCCUCAAAGAGGGGGACAACAGUUGGAAACGACUGCUAAUACCGCAUAAGCCCACGACCCGGCAUCGGGAAGAGGGAAAAGGAGCAAUCCGCUUUGAGAUGGCCUCGCGUCCGAUUAGCUAGUUGGUGAGGUAACGGCCCACCAAGGCGACGAUCGGUAGCCGGACUGAGAGGUUGAACGGCCACAUUGGGACUGAGACACGGCCCAGACUCCUACGGGAGGCAGCAGUGGGGAAUAUUGCACAAUGGGGGAAACCCUGAUGCAGCGACGCCGCGUGGAGGAAGAAGGUCUUCGGAUUGUAAACUCCUGUUGUUGAGGAAGAUAAUGACGGUACUCAACAAGGAAGUGACGGCUAACUACGUG
rnacentral:rRNA from 1 species